UCUGUCUUAUAAACAGGUGUUCUUUUUCUGGUCUAUUGAGUGCCAGUGUUUUGCAUUUUCGUUGGUGAUUUUGCUGUUUAAAAUGCCCCUAAACAUAGUGCUGAAGCGCUGUGUUUCUAAGGGCAUGAAGGCUGCAGUGAGCAAUGGUUCAGUCUUCACGAAUUCAGUGUUCAUGAUGGCUUUAUAGGCCAUCACCACAAAUAAUGAAAAUCAACGUAAUUAUAAAUAAUAAAUGGUAUCAUUUUAUGCAUUUUAAAUUUAAAGGGUAUCAUAGUCUACCUAUUCUUUUGCUAUUUUUUACUCAACGUUUUGCUAUUGAAAUUUAUGUAUGAAUAUUUAAUUCUUUGAUUUUAACCUCUAAAUUCCACUGUGCAUAAAGACCAAAGUUUAUUCUUUCCACUGUAAUUAGAUUAUUUUAAUUUUUUUCCAACAGUGCUGCAAUAAAGGACACACAUCUCUCUGUGCAUCUGUAUGACAGUGUCUCUUUGUUCAUUCCUAGAAGCCCAUGGUUCCUUAGUCAGUGUUAUUUUAAAUAAGUGAGAAAAAUUGUUAACUUAAUCCUUAUAUGUCUUCUUCAUAUUCAAGUGAGAUAUACUAAUUCCCUACAUUGGUUUGUAAAAUGAAUGCUUUCCAGCAAACUAUAGCCUUGAACUCAGUCAGCCAAGUUACAAUGAGUGUCAUUGACCAUGCAACACAAUAGAAAGCAGAAAAACUUCUUUAUGGAGAUUAUGUGAACAUUGAAAAUUAUAUUAAUGGAAUGAUUAUUCUUGGUACAUAAUCAAGGACUUUACUCAAAUCUCUUAAUGUUGUGUCACUGCUAUUCUGAAAAAUUGUUUAUUUUUAAGUUUUUUUUUUAAUUUCUUCGAAAUUUUGUUGAAGAAAUUUCUUUAAAAUUGCAUCUUAUAUGUAAUAAAGUUGAAAUUAUUGACACUUUCAAUUGACUCUUCCAGCAAGUUAUGAUAUUAGAUGGAAUCACAUGGAAUUAAUUUGUAAUACCAUGUCAUGCCAAUUUUUCUGAAGAAUUUUUUAAAAUAUAUCAUCUUUUUAGUUACAUUUUUUUCCCUACAAAUUGCCUGUAAUCUAUGAAUUUACAUCUUGCAGUUAAAAAAUCUGGAAUAGCUGAUAGCUUCAAUGUGUUAUUCUGGAUAUGCCAUGGUAAUUAAUUGAAACUUGUGGAAUUUUUGAUAUCCAACUGUCUUUGAUCUAUAAAAAUAUCUCUUUCAUAUGAUUUGACCUAUUAUUUUUAUUGAUAUUAUCUUGCAGAUAUUGAACUUGUAAGCUCUGGAUAAACUUCUAAAUGUUCACAACUAUUUUUGUGUAUCCUAGUACACAAAAAUAGUGUACUUCUUUUAAAAGAAGAAAGACUGAAAAUAAACAAUCUAAGAAGAAAUUAGAAUGAAAACAGCAAAUUAAAUUCAUACUUAUAUUAGAAAAGAAGUUCUUUAACUUGAUUGACAAAAUCUACAAAAAUCCCAUAGCAUCAUACAUACAUAUUGGUAAAAUUUAAGCUUUCCUUCUGGCAUCAGAAAUGAGGACAGGAAGUCUACCAUCACCAUUUCUAUUUGGUGAUGUGCUGAAGUCUUAGCCAGUACAAUGAGGCACUAAAAUUAAUAAGACAUGUAAAAGCUGGAAAGGAAAAAGUAAAAAUUGUCAUAAUUUGUUGACAAAGUAUUUUUUUGUCAAAAUAAUCUAUAGAUAAAAUGUUAGAAUUAAGUGAAGUUAUCCAGGUGGCUGGAUUCUAGAUCAUUAUUUUUUAAAAUUGUGUUUCUAUAUAUGAGAGAUGAACAAUUAGAAAUAAAAAAAUUUAAUGAUAUUAUUACACUCUUAAAAAAAGAUAUCAAACAUCUAGGAGUAAAUAAGUUGGUUCAUGGUAUUUUUAAAUUCCCAUUGUGAUUUUCUCUUCAACUCAUUUACUGUUUAGAAAUAUACUGUAUAAUAUUCAAUAAUGUGGAGAUUAAAACUGAUUUCUAGCUUAAUUCUAUUUUGAUCAGAAAAAUCAUACUCCUUAUGAUUUUAAUCUUUUCCCCCCUAAGAUUUGUUGUGAUUUGGUUUAUAACUCAGUCUAAAGAUAAAACCAUUCUGUUAUUUGAGAAAAUUGAGUACUAUUUAUGUACUUAUGACAACCAGUCAAGUUUGUUAAAUAUGUUAUCUGAGUCUUCUCUAUUUUCACUGAUCCAUUUAUUCAUUUGUUCUAUCAAUUUUGUAUAACACUUUCAUAUGCUAUCAUGUAUUUAUAUAUUUCUUUUAUUUCUAAUCAUAUUUUGGUUUUUUUUAUAGUUUUAUAGCUAGGUUUUUAGUUAUCUAAAAAUCUAGAAAUGUAGUAUCUUUAUAUUGAAUUAAACUUUUUAAAGAAUAUUGUCCUUUUUGUUUCUAGUAAUACUUCCCACCCUAAAGUCUACAUUUUUUGGUUGUUAAUAUAUCACCUUUUGUUUACUUAGUGUUUUCAUGGUAUAUCUUUGUCUGUCCUUUUAUACUUGCAAGUUUCCUGGUAUUACGGUUAGUAUUUUAUUUUUAUGUAGUCUGAGAAUCUUCGAACUUAAUAUUUUUUUUUUGUCUUUUUUUUUGUAAGGGCUGUACCCAUGGCAUAUGGAAGUCAAAUUUGAACUGUAGCUGCGGACCUAUACCACAGCCACAGUAACGUGGGAUCCAAGCCUCCAAGCCUUGUCUGCUGCCUAUGCCACAGCUCAUGGCAAUGCUGGAUCCUUAACUCACUGAGCAAGGCCAGGGAUCAAAUCCGUGUCCUCAUGGAUACUAGUCAGGUUUGUUACCACUAAGCCCCAAUGGGAACUCCAAGAACCUUCAAACUUUAAUUGGAAACGUUUAGACCAUUUACAUCUAGUGAAAUUGUGAUCCUCAAAUAUUUUCUUCUUGCUUUCUUUUGGAUUAACCAAUUAUUUUUAUCAUUCUAUUUUCCUUUUCUUAGCUUAUUGAAUGUAUUUUUUUGUUGUUCCUUUAGGUAACCUAGAUAUUAUGAAAAGCAUCUUGAUUUAUUAGAGUCCAACAUAAGUUAGCAAUUUUAACACAUUUCAGUCAAGGAACCCAAAAAUAAUUUAAAUCUAUUUACUAUCCUUUUACCUUUUUAUUAUUAUUUCUCUGUAUUUUCAAUUGAUAAUAUAUUUUAAACUUCACAAGCUGUUACUGUCAUUGCUUUAAAUAUUUAUAUCAUUUAAAUUUACCUUCUUACUCUUGCUGGAACCCUUUAUUCUCUGAUGCAUUACUGUUCCUCCAUCUAAGAUCAUUUUCCUGUUGCUUGUAGAAAUCUUUUUGGAAAAAGUUCUUUCUUUCUGUGUGAGCCUGUUGACAGUGAGUUCUGUCAGUUUAUAUUUAUUUGAAAAGUUUCCAUUUUUCAUUCCAAAUUUCUUUUCUUUUAAAGAAUAUUUUUAAAGAUAAAAGUUAUAUUUGGGGUGAAUAUUUUUACUGAUUUUAGGAUUUUUUUUCUUUCAGCUUAAUUGCAACAUAAUUAUUAUAUAGCACUGUAUAAGUUUAAGGUGUAUGGCAUAUACAUCAUUUCAUAUAUUGUGAAAUAGUUAUCAAAUUGAAUUUAUGUAAUGUCCAUCACCUCAUAGAAAUAAAAAAAGAAAGAGAGGAGUUCCUGUCGUGGCACAGUGGUUAACGAAUCUGACUAGGAACCAUGAGGUUGUAGGUUCAAUCCCUGGCCUUGCUCAGUGGGUCGAGGAUCCGGCUUGCCCGUGAGCUGUGGGUGUAGGUUGCAGACGCAGCUCAGAUCCUGCCUUGCUGUGGCUCUGGCAUAGGCGGCCCUGAUUAGACUCCUAGCCUGGGAAUCUCCAUAUGCUGCCCUAGAAAAG
rnacentral:lncRNA from 1 species